rnacentral:rRNA from 1 species
AUGGUUCGACCACCUCGUUCGAUCCUCCCGCCUCGUACAACAACCAUCGUUCGGUGUCCCACACGCCCGCAUAAAAUCCAGCCCGCAAGCCCACGUACCAUCGAUACUGCCUUCCUCUCAUCCCCGACCGCGUUGGACGUGGCCCAGAAACCAGCCCACACUUCCUCCCAUCCCCGAUCGAACACAGAGAGAAAAAAAACUGUCGCUAACACACACUCACGUCUCCGCCUCCCCCCAACUCCCAACUCCCAACUCGCUCCCGAUCCCGACCCCAUCUCUCUCCAGGAAAAGUCGCCGCCACCGGCGGCUGUGUUCGUCGCCCCGCCACCGAUCCAUCCGCUGCCACGCGCCUUCUGGAUCAAGGUGAGGGAUGCCUCCCGUCCCGUGCGCCCGCCUUGGAAGAGAGAUGGGGGAGAGAAAGAGAGAGAUAAGAGAGAGGGAAGAGCGGACAGCGGCGGCGCUGGCCUAAUCGCCGACAGAGGAAGAUGA